rnacentral:rRNA from 1 species
AAUGAAUGUUGGCGGCGUGGAUUAGGCAUGCAAGUCGAGCGAGAACCCCGCAAGGGGGGACAGCGGCGAAAGGGACAGUAAUGUGUAGAUUAUCUGCCCUCAGGUCCGGGAUAGCUGCGGGAAACUGCAGGUAAUACCGGAUAACAUCUCCGGAUCAAAGGUGUGAUUCCGCCUGAGGAUGAGUCUGCAUCCUAUUAGCUAGUUGGUGGGGUAAUGGCCUACCAAGGCAUUGAUGGGUAGCAGGUGUGAGAGCACGACCUGCGUCAUUGGGACUGAGACACUGCCCAGACACCUACGGGGGGGGGCAGGCGGGAAUCCUCGGCAAUGGGGGGAAGGCUUAACGGGGGACGGCGCGUGGUGGAUGAAGGGCUUCGGGGUGUAAACCACUGUCAGAGGGGAUGAAAUGCAGGUGGGUUCUCCCAUCUGUUUGACAUAGCCUCAGAGGAAGGACGGGCUAAGUUCGUG